CCUACGGGAGGCAGCAGUGAGGAAUAUUGGUCAAUGGGCUUACGCCUGAACCAGCCAAGUCGCGUGAGGGAAGACUGCCCUAUGGGUUGUAAGCCUCUUUUGUCAGGGGGCAACGCGUGCUACGUGUACCCUGGCUCAUAGUCCCUGCAGACAGAACAUCGGCUAACUCCGUGCCAGCCGCCGCGGUAAUACGGAGGAUGCGAGCGUUCUCCGGAUUUAUUGGGUUUAAGGGGAGCGUAGGUGGAUUGUUAAGUCAGUUGUGAAAGUUUGCGGCUCAACCGUACAAUUGCAGUUGAAACUGGCAGGCUUGAGUACAGUAGAGGUGGGCGGAAUUCGUGGUGUAGCGGUGAAAUGCUUAGAGAUCACGAAGAACUCCGAUUGCGAAGGCAGCCCACUGGACGGCAACUGACACUGAGGCUCGAAAGUGUGGGUAGCAAACAGGAUUAGAUACCCGUGUAGUC
rnacentral:rRNA from 1 species